GACGAACGCUGGCGGCGUGCUUAACACAUGCAAGUCGAACGAUGAAGCUGGAGCUUGCUCCGGUGGAUUAGUGGCGAGCGGGUGAGUAACACGUGAGCAAUCUGCCCUUCACUCUGGGAUAACUGCGGGAAACUGUAGCUAAUACCGGAUACGAGGCUUGGAGGCAUCUCCAGGUCUGGAAAGAAUUUCGGUGAAGGAUGAGCUCGCGGCCUAUCAGCUUGUUGGUGAGGUAAUGGCUAACCAAGGCGACGACGGGUAGCCGGCCUGAGAGGGUGACCGGCGACACUGGGACGGAGCAACGGCCCAGACGCAUACGGGAGGCAGCAGUGGGGAAUAUUGCACAAUGGGCGAAAGCCUGAUGCAGCAACGCCGCGUGAGGGAUGAAGGCCUUCGGGUUGUAAACCUCUUUUAGCAGGGAAGAAGCGAAAGUGACGGUACCUGCAGAAAAAGCACCGGCUAACUACGUGCCAGCCGCCGCCGUAA
rnacentral:rRNA from 1 species